GACGAACGCUGGCGGCGUGCUUAACACAUGCAAGUCGAACGGAAAGGCCCUGCUUUUGUGGGGUGCUCGAGUGGCGAACGGGCGAGUAACACGUGAGUAACCUGCCCUUGACUUUGGGAUAACUUCAGGAACCUGGGGCUAAUACCGGAUAGGAGCUCCUGCUGCAUGGUGGGGGUUGGAAAGUUUCGGCGGUUGGGGAUGGACUCGCGGCUUAUCAGCUUGUUGGUGGGGUAGUGGCUUACCAAGGCUUUGACGGGUAGCCGGCCUGAGAGGGUGACCGGCCACAUUGGGACUGAGAUACGGCCCAGACUCCUACGGGAGGCAGCAGUGGGGAAUAUUGCACAAUGGGCGGAAGCCUGAUGCAGCAACGCCGCGUGCGGGAUGACGGCCUUCGGGUUGUAAACCGCUUUCGCCUGUGACGAAGCGUGAGUGACGGUAAUGGGUAAAGAAGCACCGGCUAACUACGUG
rnacentral:rRNA from 1 species